CCACCCAAUGCGCCACCUAUACCUGCUCCGGUAUUGCCGCCUGCCGACGCAACGCCGCUCAGCAGGCCAAGUGACAACAACAGAAUCGAGGAGUACUUCAUUUGUAAAAAGCCUCAAAGGGAUACGGAGGCGAUCCUGAGGCUCUGGACAGGGCCUUACAAUGGAAAUCCGACGAGUGACACGACUUGGAAAAAUUCUCCAAGUUAUUGUUUUCCCGAUGGAAACUUAAGGGAUUUUCAACGGUCACAGGCUGAUUGCAAAAAGCCUUUCCAGUGGUGGAGAAGCCUUUUAUUUCUACCCGUCACCCCGUGCCUUCCCCUCCAAACUCACUACCCUUCUGCCCCAGACCUUGCUUGCCCCAAACCGCUGGAUC
rnacentral:sRNA from 1 species